rnacentral:rRNA from 2 species
UAAGCAUAUCAAUAAGCGGAGGAAAAGAAACCAACAGGGAUUGUCUUAGUAACGGCGAGUGAAGCGACAAAAGCUCAAAUUUGAAAUCUGGCACCUUCGGUGUCCGAGUUGUAAUUUGAAGAAGGUAACUUUGGAGUUGGCUCUUGUCUAUGUUCCUUGGAACAGGACGUCACAGAGGGUGAGAAUCCCGUGCGAUGAGAUGUCCAACUCUAUGUAAAGUGCUUUCGAAGAGUCGAGUUGUUUGGGAAUGCAGCUCUAAGUGGGUGGUAAAUUCCAUCUAAAGCUAAAUAUUGGCGAGAGACCGAUAGCGAACAAGUACAGUGAUGGAAAGAUGAAAAGAACUUUGAAAAGAGAGUGAAAAAGUACGUGAAAUUGUUGAAAGGGAAGGGUUUGAGAUCAGACUUGGUAUUUUGUAUGUCUUGCUUUCGGGUGGGGCCUCUGCAGUUUACUGGGCCAGCAUCGGUUUGGACGGUAGGAUAAUGACAUUGGAAUGUGGCACU